AGAUCGAUUCGUUACACCUUUUUAGCGAGGCUUUUGGCAAAGGGGAGGGGCUCUGGAGCCACUGUAGGCACCAUUAAUAGCCUCCUCUCCGUCCUAACUAUUAUACACGAUAAAGUGUUUAUAAAGAGCGACCAAGUAGAGCAGUAAAAGUGUUUCAAAUGAGACUGAGAUGGUGGUAAAGAAGAGAGGAGUAGCAGGACUAGAGGGUGGAUCAGAUUAUUUUCUCUUUAAAUAAUCCCUGGGACUGCGUCAGAAUUACAGUUUUGCGCAUUACGCACCGGACUUUUCCCCCUUUUUCUGCCUUCGGUUUUAUGGAUUCUCCUCCAAACGGAGGCGAAAACUUUACCCGGUUCAAAUUCUGCUCUCACACAAUCAUGCAGAGAAAAGGAUAUGCUGCAGAGAAGUCCUGUAUGCAGGGUGUCAGAUCAGGUGGGG